AGGAUCGAAGAAAAUUAAGCUAAUUUAAGCAGUUGCUUAGCGAGAGGUGUUGUUUACACGGUCGGUGAUGUCAAAAGUCUCGUUAGGUCGAGGAACAUGAAAUAGGUCCAGGAUGGUUAGUUCGUUAGUGAGGUCUGAGGGAGAAAGAACUCUUUGGACAGGCUUAAUCCUAUAAACCUUUUCAGUCUGAAUAUUUUCUUUAUUUUCAUGUUCAAUGCGUUGUGCAGGGGUUCGGCGAACACGUUUAGUGCGUUUCAUGGGAACGCUAUGUACCGAUCCAGCUUUGGUAGAACGGCCGCGUUUGCUUGUAGAGCUGAUGAAAGUGGUACCGGCAUGGUCAACAGUUUUGGUGUUAGUGUUAGUACUGGAGCUUCCAGUACUAGUUCUGGGAGAAGUUGAGCGUCUUGCCGUAUUGGUGCGAUUUGGUAAAGCAGAAGCGCUGCUUGCUGGGUGACGGCUGUUGGAGGUGUUUUGAGAGCUCAUUGUUAGAAGUAGAAAGUGAUUGUAAAAGUAGAAUAUAGUUUGAUGUGAAUUAGAUAAUAGAAAGAAUAAGAGGAUAAGAAAAUGGAUGCAGAAAUGAGCGACUAAGC